rnacentral:lncRNA from 1 species
GCAGAUGAGGGAGAGAUAGGAAAUAAGGAAGAAAAAAAAAUGUUUUCCAAUUACAUAACAGCAAAUAACAAAUACCGUAGCUGUCCUUACAGAAGGUCAGAAACACGGCGACUGGAGCUGUCAAGUAAUAGACAAUUUGAUGAUAGUAACUAAGAAAACACAAAAGGCAGCUAAUCUCCCCCCUACUGAUAAAGCCGUCUGAGGUAGAUCAAUUUAGUCAUGGUUGUUGUGAGGAAAUUGCACUUGUUUGAUGUUUCACAAGCAGAUCAUGUUGUUUCCUAGGAAACAUCCUUUUUCACUUAAAUCUAAUUCUCCCACGUACUGGGAUCUGAUGAGUCACUCAGCCUGGCUUUCCUCUCACUUCCCUCUCCCCAUUCAAGGGAACUGACUGGCUGGAAAUCUACUAAAUGAAAUGAAUUUAUUAGCUCUUUUCACCUUGCUCUUCACUUAACUCUUGUGCUUCUUCCUCAUAAGCCUAACUGCUUCCCUGAUGUGAAGGGCCAGGGAUAAUGAAGGAGCACAGCGCGUGAUGAGACCGAGUGUUGGACAAUGACUUCUGUCAAUUUCUUGGUUAUUAAACUAUAUCUCAGCUUCUACCUUUAAAUGGAAAACAUUACAUGCAUAGAGACGUUUUUGCCUUGUAACCUGUAGUGGAAUUGGAUGUUAGCUUAAUUUUAGAUUCUCAGUCACUCUGUACUCUAUGGUUAUACGGGUGUGUGUAUGUGAGAGAAAGAGAGAAAAGAGAGAAAGGGGAGGAAACAAGCAACAAAGAGAACUUACACAAAUGUUUCCAUUCUUAUUUGAAUGAAUUAAUAGACAUAUUGCCACAAAAAAUCUAGAACUUGAAGAUAAUCAAAAUAUAAUUUUAAGGAGUUCCCUGGUGGCCUAGUAGUUAAGGAAGCUGUGUUGUCACUGCUGUGGCAUGUGUUCUAUCCCUGGCCCCGGGAAGUUCUGUGUGCCACAGGCAUGCCCCCCCACCAAAAAAAGUAUCUAUAUAUUAUGUAAUUGAAUUAAAUAUUGUAUAUUUAAUAUAUAUAUUUAUUAUGUGUAAUAUACAUAUUAAAUGCUAAUAUAAAUAUAUAGAAAUACAAAUGUAUGAUAUAUAUAUAUUGACCAGCAUUAAUUGAGCUUGCACAUUCUAAGCAGAGUUGUCUGUUUGGUAACUAGGGAGGUAGCAUAGACAUGAGUGACUGAGAGAAGUCUUCUGGGACUCAGCAUGAAUAAAGAAUUCUCAGAGCAAAACCUCACUGACUCUUGGCUCCAAUGGCAGCAGCAAGCACCACCUAUGGAAGGGCUCAGACUGAGUACGCAGGGCCAAGGUGCAGUGGGUGUCUGCCCUCAUUGGCUCAUGCACAGUUCCAUAGUCUCUUCCCCUCUUAGCUAUACUCACUGAUACCUUACUCUGUGUCAGGAACCAUGCUCAUUACUUUCGUUAUAUUCUCUCAUGUGAGGUGAGGUAUGGUAUUUUUACCUCCAGUUUACAAAUGAGAAAAAUAGAGGUUUAGAGUUGGUAAAUGUUUUGCCCCAAGUCACAUUGCUUAGGGUAGUCUUAAGACUCAUUAUCAGCUCUCAUGUCCAUGAUCUUUAUCACAAUUUUACAUUUUUUCCUGGGCAAAUGUAUUGGUUUUCUUUAAGAUGAGAGAUUGUAGGGUCUAAGAAAAUAUCUGUAGCUAUAAAGCCCCUAAAUUCACAAAAGUAAUUGCAAAUAUGUCCCAAGCCAGAUAGGUCUCACCAACAUGGCUUAAACAAAAUCAAAAUCAAUGUAGUCAGAAAUUGAACGUUUGCAAUAAAGUUACCUGGGGCCGAGUGUCUACAGAGACUUACUAACACAGCCUCAGAUAAUCAUAAAGAUGAGCUUUCACUCCUGAGAUGAUACAUUCUUAACCACUGCCUACGCUGAAGGUUCCUAAUACCAUUCCUUGUAUGCAUGUGGAUGAAAGGAGUUAGGUUUCUUUCACCUGUGAUUAAAACUAUAAUAAUAAUCUGCUCACUUAUGUCUGCUCCUACUUCAGGCUUCUUAGGAAACAUGGAUCUGAUAAAUGGGCUUCAUUUAUAAACUCUUGAAAACUAGUAGUGUAACUCCAAAGCAAUGCAUAAGUUAGGUUCCAGUCCAUUAUGAACCACCAUCAAAUAUCAAUGACAUGCAACAAUAAAUAUGACUGUGGACUAAAACUGAUCUAGGCUGGAAUGAUCCUGUAUGGGCUCACACAUCUGUAGCUGUCUAGACAUUUAGGCUGGACUUGGUUGGGGAAUUGGUUGAGGAGAUUCUGUCUGAUUACAUCUCUUCUCUUAUCCUUCUCCUGGAUUCAGUGGGCUAGCUGGGGCAUGUUCUUUUCUUCAUGGUGAAAGAGGCUUCAGAACACAAGUAUAAAGAAGACCUAAGCCCUGGUUGAGGGCAGAAUCAUAACUGACAUACCCUCACUUCCACUGAGUUCUAUUGGCCAUGCAGAGAUCUAUAGUAGAAUCCAAAAAAGGUAUGCCCUGAUCUCCAUGUUGGGAGACCUCUGCCAUGCUCAAUUGCAAAAGAUAUGGGUACAGAGAGGAUAAAGAGUUGAGGCUGAACAUGUAAUCUACCAGAGACAAUGGGCCACAUUUUAAAUUCUACAUCUGACACUAAAUGUGAAAUCAGGUGAUUAUUUAUAAUCCAAGUAUUCAUUUCUUUUUUGGUUAAACUACAUUACUCCUAGCCCAUGGAUUCCUUUUGAGAAUUGAAUGAGGAAAAGUCUAUGAAAUUCCUCAGCAGGAAAAUGUAAAAGUAGCUGGCCUAGAACUCUGAAAAGCUCCAUCUUCCUUCCUACUCUGAACAACCCACUUACUCAUCUCCUUUCAGUGUUCCCAUUUCAGUAAGUUCCCUCAUGAUGUUCAAGGAGACUUCCUCCUGAGGUUGAGAGACUGAAUUCUAAGAUUAUAUAUUCUUUGUUUGCCUUAUUUUAGGCCUUUGUAUGCUACCAUAGGACAAUUAAGACUAUACAAGCAAUUAUUUUCCAGGAGGCACAGAUGUUGUUUGUUUCACUUGAGAAUUCAAGUCCUUAUUGGUCCUACUUUUAAGGUCCAUUUCUCAAGAAACAUUUCAUCCACUGAACAAUAAAGAGCAGCAAAUGACAUUAUUAAUAUAUAAAGACUCAUUAAAUUAUACUCAGUACUAAAAUGUCCCAAACCCUCUAGAGGGAUCUGAAAAUAAAUGUUCAUUUAACCUUCCUUUAAACUGCACUAUUUGAAGGAGAGAAGGGAUCAGGUUUUGGUUAGCAAAUGUUACAUAACAGCUGUUUUCAGAGGGCUCUCAUUUGUUCCCAUUUAUUUUGGAUGUUUGAAUUUCAACUGUAAGUCUUUUCUUGGGUCUAAGAUUGCCUUUACCUUCAGGCUCAGAAUAGCUUCUCUCAUUGCUUUUGGGGGACAGUCAUUGGAUAUAUUUUUGCAUCUUCAAUUCCAGUAAAAAUUACCACAAACAUUUCUGGAAUCCAUCAAUGACACCUUCUGUCAUGGGAGAUAUAAAAAAGAUCAAGUCAGAAAGAAGCUUCGUGACUCAAUUGGGAGGCUAGCUAGGACAUCUUGCGACCUGGUUAAAUCUGAAGGAGUUGUUUUUUUCUAAAGUUUAGGUGUGUGAGUAGGCUCAGAUACACUCUCCGGGGUGAGGAUGACUCUGGAUGGGAUGGAGAAAGUCCAGUAGGAGACAGCAAAGCCACUGAGGCAACCAGCCAGGACUUACCCUAGUGGAGUAGUAGGUAUCCAUGGCUUCAAUUAUUGGGUGGAUAGAACACUGUAAUGGGAACUGGGAGCAGGAUAUCUGUGGGUUCCCAGAGAUAGACAGAAAAACUGUGGGACAUACUGUGGAGCAAUAUUGGGACAAGGAUCUAAAGCCAGCCCAAAAUACAUUUAUUAGACCUGGAUACUAGGUUAAAACUAGAUUCACCACAUCAUAACCUUGAUACUUGAUGGUUUGAUGCUGAAUUGAACCACUCUAACCCCCAACCUCAUUACACACUGAGUGGAUAGAAACAGUUCUACAUCUGUGGGACUUCUCUUCCAUCCAUCUCUGCAUCUGAUAGAGGAGAUUUGGCACCAUUCAAUCCUGGUACAGAGAGCAAAGAGAAGUGAGCUGUGGACCUAUUUCCAAUCUGAGCACUUCAAAAAACCAAUAGGGCCUCAGAAUAAAGCAGAAAGUUAAAAUUUCAAAGAGAAUAUAAUUAAAUGACUACAGAGAUGAGGUUGGAGAGGACAAGUGAUGCUGAAGGAAUUAGUAAAAGUGGAAAACCAUUUAUCACUCUGAAUUCUGAAGGGGCAAGGAGAGGAAAAUGAAGCUGAUGAGAGUAGAAGCUGAGAACUUGAGGCCCUGACAUAAUGUCCUUCUAGAGGUGCAGCUUUCCUAUGACAACUGAGACACUGAGACAAGAAGAAAGCAAGGGGAUAAGUGCCUUGACCUCUCUCUGUCCCAGACUCCUGCUGUGCCUGCCCACUGAGGAACCUCAGAACCCAGAGAAUAAGGGAACAUCAGUGAUGGAAGGGAUCAAACUUCAGGGCACCAGGGCAGGGCCUGGACAUGAGGGAGAACACAUGGAGAAUGAUGUAAAUAUCUACAACAUGGUCAAGGCCACCGAAAACCAUUUAGUCUGUCAGGGUUUUUGUUUGUUUGUUUUGUCUUUUUUAGGGCCGCACCAGCAGCAUAUGGAGGUUCCCAUGCUGGGGGUCUAAUUGGAGCUGUAGCUGCCGGCCUACGCCACAGCAACAGCAACUGGGGAUCCAAGCCACGUCUUUGACCUACACCUCAGCUCAGGGCAACGCCGGUUCCUUAACCCACUGAGUGAGGCCAGGGAUCGAACCCGCAACCUCAUGGUUCUUAGUCGGAUUCGUUAACCACUGAGCCAUGAUGAGAACUCCUAGUCUGUCAGUUUUGACUUAUCUUUUUCAAAUAAAUUACCCUCAUGGCCUUUAACCAUCUUCUACUUAUCAAAGCAAAGGCCUUAGAGAUGAAAUAUUUCAUAAACACAUAUCAUUUAAAUAAUUUUUUAGUGUAGGAUCUUAGAAAUUUGUUUGCAUUGCUUAAAAAUAUCCCAAAAUCCAAAAAACAAAUCUGUGUGUGCUGACAUGUAAGAUGAUCUCCCUUUCACUGAGAAGGAUGCUCAAAGAGCCUGCAGGAGCUGAGACUUGUCCAUAUACCUAAAGUGACACAGUGAGGUCUCACAUUAAGGUUAUAGAAAUCCCCGAUUGCCAGCAUGCUUCCACACUGCCAUGAAACUCUGUGAGUGACUUGGGACCAGUGCAAUGGGACCAAUCCCAUUCCAUAUUUACUGACCACCUAAUAUGUCUCAGACACUGCACUAGAGGCAUAGGAGAGCUAGAGUGGCAGUAAGACAUCAUGGAAUCAGAUUUGUAGUCCUUUUAGAGACUCACCUAAAAGUACCUGCAAUCUGCAUACUGCUGGCAUGCCAGUGAUAUUUUUGCCUAUUUUUAUAAUAGUGGAAAAGCUAUCGUCUACUCAUUUGGUCCAAUAAUCUUCCUUCCAUAUUUUAGAUCCUUCUAUGAUACCAUUUUAACUUCUUCUCUUUCUCCAUCUUUUCCUUCCUACCCACAUUCACCAAUUCUGUCUGCCUUACCAUGUACAGAGAGCCAGUAGUUCCAGGGAAAGUACUGUGCAAGGAUGAGGUUGCCUCUUGACCCAAGGGAUAGGGGAUCCUUUGGGCUCUGAGGGGUAUUGGUCCUCUGGUUAUAACACCAUGGAGUUAAUUAUCAAGCAUCUCCAGGUACUUGGUAUGGAAACAGGUAAAUUACACAUAUAAUCUCCUUUAAUUUGCUCCUAUGCAUGCAAUUUAUUUGUGCACAUCAGUUCUUUGCUUAUAGUGCUGCUGCUACCAAAAUGAUGUGUCAUGAAACUAAUGAAAAGCAAAUCAUCCUGAUGUCUAACUUUGAAGGCACUUUCUCAGUCUUCUCGGUUUUAUGUAGAUCUCACUUAUUUUAAUGCAAACAAGUCUAAAUGUAAGAUAAAGUCAAAAUGGCUAAGUGGGGGAAAAGCCUUGAAAAGAGAAAAUGGACAUCAUGAGGCUUGUGCUAGACUAACACUGGGCGAAUUUCACCAACACAUGUUAUAGUAUAGUAGAUAAAGAGGCAGCAUGAACACUAAGCCCAAAUACUUGGUAACUCAGCCCACUCUGUUGUUCUGAGGCUGAUCUCUCAUGGGAUUGUAUUCCUUUCCUUCUGUCUUGAGCCCUCUUUCCCUGAAAACAUCUCUUUUUUUUUUCUGUCACUUUUUUCUUCAUUUUUUAAAAACCAGCAUGGGCUUUGGGGAAGGUUUCCUCAGCAACUCUGGGAAAAGUUGCGUUCAAUUACAGAACCAUAGACAUUUAGAGUCAGGAGGCCAUUUGGAAAUCAUCUAAUUCAUCUUCUUCACCUCAACUGCUAAGGACCCACAGUCUAGCAAUGUAGGAAUAGAAAUGUCUGGAGUGAUGGAAAUUUUCCAACUCUGUAUUGUCUGCUGCAGUAGCCACUAGCCACAUGUAGCUAUUGUACACUUGAAAUGUGAUUACCAUGACUGAAUUCUAAAUUUUAUUUACCUGUAAUUUAAUUUAAAUUCAGAUAGUCCCAUAGGGAUAGAGGCUACCAUAUUGAAUAGCGGAGGUCUAGAAAGUUCUUGGAUUGUACCCAGUGUCACACUGUAAAGUGGAAGAACUCACCUGAUUAUAUAGGCCUUUGAAUCAGCUCAGGGGUCUUUAAUGGUUUCAAAUACUUCAGUAAAUCAACCAACUUAGCCCAGAAUGCAUAAUUAAGGUGCAGGGGAGAAGUAUUGGCUGCCUUGGCAUUGACAAACCAAAAAAAAAAAAAAAAAAAAAAAAAAAAA